AGGGAAUAUUGGACAAUGGGGGAAACCCUGAUCCAGCAAUGCAGCGUGAGUGACGAAGGCCUUAGGGUUGUAAAACUCUUUCAUCGGUGAGGAUAAUGACAGUAGCCGAAGAAGAAGGACCGGCUAAUUCCGUGCCAGCAGCCGCGGUAAUACGGAAGGUCCUAGCGUUGUUCGGAAUUACUGGGCGUAAAGCGCAUGUAGGCGGAACAGAAAGUUAGAAGUGAAAUCCCUGGGCUCAACCUAGGAAUUGCUUUUAAAACUUCUGUUCUGGAAUUCAGGAGAGGAAAAUGGAAUUUCCAGUGUAGAGGUGAAAUUCGUAGAUAUUGGAAGGAACACCAGUGGCGAAGGCGAUUUUCUGGACUGAUAUUGACGCUGAGAUGCGAAGGCAUGGGUAGCAAACGGG
rnacentral:rRNA from 1 species